CCUACGGGUGGCAGCAGUGGGGGAUAUUGCACAAUGGGGGAAACCCUGAUGCAGCGACGCCGCGUGGGUGAAGAAGCGCCUCGGCGCGUAAAGCCCUGUCAGCAGGGAAGAAACUGACGGUACCUGAAGAAGAAGCCCCGGCUAACUACGUGCCAGCAGCCGCGGUAAUACGUAGGGGUCAAGCGUUAUCCGGAUUUACUGGGUGUAAGGGGGGCGCAGACGGCGAUGCAAGCCAGGAGUGAAAGCCCGGGGCCCAACCCCGGGACUGCUCGUGGAACUGCGUGGCUGGAGUGCAGGAGGGGCAGGCGGAAGUCCGGGUGUAGCGGUGAAAUGCGGAGAUAUCAGGAGGAACACCGGUGGCGAAGGCGGCCUGCUGGACUGCAACGGACGUUGAGGCCCGAAAGUGUGGGGAGCAAACAGGAUUAGAGACCCGAGUAGUC
rnacentral:rRNA from 1 species